GGGGGUAGAUGGCGGCUGGUGUCGCCUCUGGUCUUCAAAACCAGUAUGAGGGGUUAGGAGCCUCUUGGGUGGGUUCGAUUCCCACAUACUCCCGCCA
rnacentral:tRNA from 1 species